AUGUGUGUACCAAGAGACCAAGGAGGAAUGGGUUUUCGAGACAUACAUUGUUUCAGUUUGGCCUUGUUAGCCAAACAAGCGUGGCGCCUGCUUGAUAACCCUGAUUCUCUAUGUGCCACCAUUUUGAGAGCUAAAUAUUUUCCGGAUGGAGAUUUAAUGAAUGCAAGUCUUAAAAAAGGAUCUUCAUUCACUUGGCAACGCAUUAUGGCGGGAGUGAAUUCUCUAAAAAAUGGUUAUACUUGGAGAGUUGGAAAUGGACAAAAUAUUGAUAUUUGGAGAGAUGUAUGGAUCCCUAAUGGGGCAAAUAGAAAAAUUAUCACUCCUAGAAGAGGGCAGCUUCUGACAAAAGUUGUUGACCUUAUAGAUCCAAUCAACAAUUGUUGGGAUGAAGAUUUGGUAAGACAAACGUUGUGGCCAAUUGAUGUCCAGAGGGUGCUUGCGAUCCCCCUCCCCACAUAUAACAUGCCGGAUUUCAUAGUUUGGAGUUUUACAAAGAAUGGACUGUUCACGGUUCGUUCUGCUUAUCUGGAGGAAUGGAAAAAGCAACAUGGGAGGAAGUUGCAACAUUCUAAUGGCAUGGGAGGAAUAAAUGUCAAUACUAUUUGGAGAAACAUUUGGAAAUUAUCUUGUCCAGCAAAAGUGAAGUUUUUAUUUUGGCAUACCUUACACGGAACCCUCCCGUGUCGUAUUACACUUGCUAAUAGACAUAUGAAAGUUUCGUCCACCUACCCAUCAUGUUCGAACGGACCUGAAGAUACUAAACACUUGUUAUUUAUGUUUCAAAAGGCAAAAGAGGUGUGGGAGAAGCUGGGAUUGCACGAAGCCAUUAAAAAAGCUUGA
rnacentral:rRNA from 1 species